rnacentral:rRNA from 1 species
AAUUCCGAUAACGAACGAAGACCUUAACCUGCUAAAUAGCCAGGCCGGCUUUUGCUGGUCGCCGGCUUCUUAGAGGGACUGUCAGCGUCUAGCUGACGGAAGUUUGAGGCAAUAACAGGUCUGUGAUGCCCUAGAUGUUCUGGGCCGCACGCGCGCUACACUGACAGAGCCAGCGAGUUAUUUAACCUAGGCCGGAAGGUCGGGGUAAUCUUGUGAAACUCUGUCGUGCUGGGGAUAGGGCAUUGCAAUG